GCUAACUCUGUGCCAGCAGCCGCGGUAAUACAGAGGGUGCAAGCGUUGUCCGGAAUUACUGGGCGUAAAGGGCGCGUAGGCGGCCUGAUAAGUAGGGGGUGAAAUCCCGCGGCUCAACCGCGGGGCUGCCUUCUAGACUGUCAGGCUUGAGCACGGUAGAGGCGAAUGGAAUUCCCGGUGUAGCGGUGGAAUGCGUAGAGAUCGGGAAGAACACCAGUGGCGAAGGCGGUUCGCUGGGCCGUUGCUGACGCUGAGGCGCGACAGCGUGGGGAGCAAACAGGAUUAGAUACCCUUGUAGUC
rnacentral:rRNA from 1 species